ensembl:lncRNA
UGUCGAUCCUAGUAAUAUUCAUUCUACAUGAAGAAAGUAGUUAAGAUGGCCCGAGCUAGAGGAAGAACAACUUCUGGUGUGACAAGACAUUCACCUACUAGAAGUGCGAGUUGGACACCAGCACUACACCAACCACUAGUCUGAGACUUGUCAGUAGGUGGUUUUGUGACAGGAGUAUUUCGUUCAUUCAACUUCCUUUCAAGGUUGUUGAUCCUAGUAAUAUUCAUUCUAUUUUGCUCCUGGAGAAGCUCUGCACGCUGAGCUAAUCUCUCAUUCUCUCUUUGCAACUGCUGCAGAGGCUCAAAGCUACUAGUCUCAAGAUCAUGUAUAGUUUUCCUGAGAGUCCUGUUCUCUUUCUGUAAUUGACGGGACUUAGUUGUAGCCUUGGCCAGAUCCACAGCGAGAAACGCUAUCUGUCGCGUAAAAUGUAAUUCCUUUGUAUUAUCUCUGUCCUUCGGUGAAUUAUUUAAUGUUUCCUCCGACAUUUCUUUAAUAGUAUAAAAGCACAGUGUCAAAAGAAAAAAACUUUGUAUGAAUUGUAUGAAAGUAUUAUCUUUGUCAAAGACAACUCGCUUUGCAAAAACAACUCGCUGUUUCUGAAGACGUACCAAACUGUGUUAUAGCACCUCUAUUUAUGGACUCCUGUGGCAGAGAUGGUGACGUCGAAACUGUGACGGUGACAUCACGUCACACUCUCCUUUGAGAAGAUCAAAGAAGCGCUCCGUAUC